rnacentral:rRNA from 1 species
UGGGCAACCUGCCCCUAGCUCUGGGAUAACUGCGGGAAACUGUAGCUAAUACCGGAUGUGACACGAGACUGCAUGGUCUUCGUGUGGAAAGAUUUAUCGGCUAGGGAUGGGCCCGCGGUCUAUCAGCUUGUUGGUGGGUAAUGGCUCACCAAGGCGACGACGGAUAACCGGCCUGAGAGGGCGACCGGUCACACUGGGACUGAGACACGGCCAGACUCCGUACGGGAGG